rnacentral:rRNA from 1 species
GGAUUGAACGCUGGCGGCAGGCCUAACACAUGCAAGUCGAGCGGUAGAGAGGUGCUUGCAUCUCUUGAGAGCGGCGGACGGGUGAGUAAUGCCUAGGAAUCUGCCUAGUGGUGGGGGAUAACGUUCGGAAACGGACGCUAAUACCGCAUACGUCCUACGGGAGAAAGCGGGGGACCUUCGGGCCUCGCGCCAUUAGAUGAGCCUAGGUCGGAUUAGCUAGUUGGUGAGGUAAUGGCUCACCAAGGCGACGAUCCGUAACUGGUCUGAGAGGAUGAUCAGUCACACUGGAACUGAGACACGGUCCAGACUCCUAACGGGAGGCAGCGAGGUGGGGAAUAGUUGGACAAGUGGGCGCAAGCCUGAUCCAGCCAUACCGCGUGGGUGAAGAAGGCCUUCGGUUGUAAAGCCCGUUUUGUUAGGAAAGAAAGCAUUACGGUUAAUACCCGGUUGUUCGUGACGGUACCCAAAGAAUAAGCGAACCGCUAACUCGUCGACCUACGCACGGCCG